UCGGUAAUUCCAGCUCCAAUAGCGUAUAUUAAAGUUGUUGCAGUUAAAAAGCUCGUAGUUGGAUUUGUGGUGCGUCCACGGCGUCCAUUCAUUUGGUUCUGCCGUGGCCCUGCCAUCCUUGGGUGGAUUCUGUGUGGCAUUAGGUUGUCGUGCAGGGGAUGCCCAUCGUUUACUGUGAAAAAAUUAGAGUGUUCAAAGCAGGCUUAUGCCGUUGAAUAUAUUAGCAUGGAAUAAUAAGAUAGGUCUUUGGUCCUAUUUUGUUGGUUUGCGGGCCAGAGAAAUGAUUAACAGGGACAGUUGGGGGUAUUCGUAUUCCAUUGUCAGAGGUGAAAUUCUUGGAUUUCUGGAAGACGAACUACUGCGAAAGCAUUUACCAAGGAUGUUUUCAUUAAUCAAGAACGAAAGUUAGGGGAUCGAAGAUGAUUAGAUACCAUCGUAGUCUUAACCAUAAACUAUGCCGACAAGGGAUUGGCGGGGUUUCGUUACGUCUCCGUCAGCACCUUAUGAGAAAUCACAAGUUUUUGGGUUCCGGGGGGAGUAUGGUCGCAAGGCUGAAACUUAAAGAAAUUGACGGAU
rnacentral:rRNA from 1 species